rnacentral:tRNA from 1 species
GGCAGGAGAGCUUAGUGGUUAGUUAUGCACACUCUGAUGCCAGACUUUCUGGGUUCAAAUCCCAGUUCUGCCC